CAGAAAUUAAAAGAGGUCAUUUCGGCUCUAUAUAUCGUGUAAUACGUGGUAUCGAUUAAUCUCGGCCGAAUGUAUUAAUCCAUCCCACCGAGCUCUUCCUCGGUAAAUGGCUCGGUCUUCUAAUGUUACGAUUUGUGCAAGAAUGUCGCCGAUAGAAGUCAUAUUUUCAAUAAUUUUUGAACAAGUAAUAAUCAAGUAAGCAUUAAAUAAUCGCCUGUGUACUUCAUACGUCCCAAAGGAGAGUUCCAAACAGUCCAAGCGAUAAUAACGACAUAAAAGAUAUCUAAGACUGAACGUUAUCCAAUAGUCCAAAAGUAUUGGAGAGAAGCAGAAUAGAGUGAUAUCUGAAUUCUAAUUACGUCCAAAGAAGAUACAAGGAUUUAAACUACGCUCAUCAUGAUAAUUAAUCAUUCGAUAUCCGAAAUGAAACAAACUUAUAUCGGCACUUCCUGUUCUUCCUUACAACUGAAGAUACGUUCUACUUCCAUAGAAGGAAUGUCCGACCAUUAACCAGAUUAGGAAAUGAAAUCAUUUAUCUCUUUUCUGGUCUUAUAUUUAAAUGGUAAAUCGAUCAAUGCUGUGUUUACGGAACGGUUUUAUGAUGGCGACUAGAGUAUUUCUAUUGAUAAGUGGGACAUUAGAUCUCUUAACUUUAGUUAUCCUAAAGAGAGCGCCCUCGUGGUCGCUCGGUUAACCUCCCAAAACGAUGUGGAGGGGAUGAAUAGCGCAGGUCGCAGAACGAUGACAUAGCUCCGUAUCAUUCCUUCGGUGGUUUUCGAACCAGAAAUAUCUGAGUGAGUGUCGUACGGUAAAUAAUCCUCAUCCGUAGACAUCAUACAUCUCAAGUGGUAUCUUUACAAGUAGUUCAAGCGGUGGAAACAAUUUCUUCGUUCUCACUAGUCAGUUAUUUUUGUCAUCAAUAUAAGGAAUACGAAACGAAAUAAAGACGGGUGCCGUUCUCGCAGCCCGGAAGUACUGCAAAGAAACCGAAUUGACGGAUAUGUGACAUAUGAAUAUUUCCGAGGAAAAUAUGCGAUUUCAAUUACACUGAACGUGUAGAUUAAACAUCCGACAUCCGAAAUAAAACUUUUUUAGUUGCUAUGGCACCUCCUGUUCUUCCGACGAUACAUCUUACAUGAGAACGUGACAACAUUGGUACCCCAUUAUUAUAACAAUCAUCGAUCUGAAUAUUGGAUUUCAAUAAAUAAGCACAUUGGAUUGUCAGAAGAGUGGUUCGAAAAGUCGUUGGAAAAUUUAUUCAAAGAAAGUGCACCGUUUCUUGUUACUGAGAGAUGAUAUACUUUUCAAUGUCUCCAUAUCGAUGUAUUGCAACAUAAAUUUACCAUAGAGGUAUAUGUCAAAGAACUUUAAACACAAACGAAAGUAGCUAAUUUUCUCAUCGAAAUUAAUUUCUUCAAAGUCAAUAUACAUUGAAUUAAAUUUUUUGUGAAUUUAAAUUCAUCGUGAUAUAUGGAAUUAGUAAAGAACGAACAUUCUUUAUAAAUUCAAAUACGUACUGGUAUCUACUCCUUAAAUACGGAUUAUAUGGAAGUUUACUUCGGUUAACUACAAUAUUACAUUUGUAUGCACAUACUACGACGCUUAAUGUGUACCUCAAAUCCAUAAUACAUAUCAUAAUACGCAGCAAUAUGAGCUUAGCAUUAAAUGACACAUUACCGGAUGAGGAUCAACGAAAGAACAAAUUUAAAUAUGUUGCACUUGGAUCGUCGAAUAUUUAAUUAUCACGCGAAGCGUACGCGAAAAACCGUAUUUUCCCAGGACGUAUUAUAUUUCACAUAUCGGUUAAUUCAGCUUCUUUGCUGUCAUUUUCAGGGGUUGGAAUUGCUUCCACCUUUAAUUCGUGUCGUAUAUCUCUAAAAUAAUGUAUCUAAAAUUCGUGUAUCACUCAAUAUUCGUAGACUGGUGAAGACUUAACUCAGUCAUUCGUUCAUUUCAAUUGUAUAAUUACCGAAAAUAAAUCAGGCAAUGUCAUUUAAAAGCAACUUUUCCAAUACGCAACAAAGUAACAAUUAAAAUGAUGUAAAUCAAGAAAAUCAUUUUCCAUUCCAAAAUAUAGAAAUGAAAUUUUACAAGAAAUCUUAUACUAAUCAGUACGGCUAAAUUUUAAAAAUAUUGAUGGAGUAAACGAAUGACUAGUGCGAACGAUGAAAUUGUUUCCAUCGUUUGAAUUAUUUGUAAAGGUAUCAUUUGGGAUGUGUGAUGUCUACGGGUGAGGAUUAUUUUCCGUACGAUACCCACUUACAUAUUACUGGUUCGAUAACCACCAAAGGAAUGCUAACUCCCUAAAUUGAACGAGUCCUCCCAUUAGAGGACCAAACUUCCUAAAUUUUAUAUCUCUAGCUAGAACGGUAAAUAAUUUCUUCUAUUAAUUCCAGUUAUUGUAAUUAAUAACAUUAUAUUGCAUUGAUUGCUAUAGAAUGAUUCCUUAAUUCCUAUACUACUAUAAAUUCGUAAUGUUUCUUUCUUUCUUAUCCCUAGUCAUACUUAAAAACAGUUUUCUAAUAUUACCAAAUAUUAAUGAUAUUACACUUUUCGUACUAUGUAAUUCUUUUUGUAAAAUCUUCCGAUGAAAAAAAAUUUUUUCGUCGGAAGUUGUAUCUACUUUCAGAUUCCUUGGAAACAUUUUCUCUAAAUAUUACCCUCUCUUUUGUAAAAAAAUAUAUAUCUUAAGUUAUCGAAGAAUUCAUUUCCGUUAUUUUACAAUAAUAUUAUAUGAUAAAAAUAUGUAUUCAAAGAAAUAAUAAAAAACAUGUACUCAAAGAAAA